GUGAGGAAUAUUGGUCAAUGGACGCAAGUCUGAACCAGCCAAGUAGCGUGCAGGAUGACGGCCCUAUGGGUUGUAAACUGCUUUUAUAUGGGGAUAAAGUGGGGAACGUGUUCCCUUUUGCAGGUACCAUAUGAAUAAGGACCGGCUAAUUCCGUGCCAGCAGCCGCGGUAAUACGGAAGGUUCGGGCGUUAUCCGGAUUUAUUGGGUUUAAAGGGAGCGUAGGCCGUUUGGUAAGCGUGUUGUGAAAUGUAGGAGCUCAACUUCUAGAUUGCAGCGCGAACUGUCAGACUUGAGUGCGCACAACGUAGGCGGAAUUCAUGGUGUAGCGGUGAAAUGCUUAGAUAUCAUGAAGAACUCCGAUUGCGAAGGCAGCUUACGGGAGCGCAACUGACGCUGAAGCUCGAAGGUGCGGGUAUCGAACAGGAUUAGAAACCCCAGUAGUCC
rnacentral:rRNA from 1 species